rnacentral:tRNA from 1 species
GCCUGGGUGGCUCAGUCGGUUGAGCAUCUGACUUCGGCUCAGGUCAGGAUCUCGCAGUUUUGUGAGUUCGGGCCCCGCGUCGGGCU